UCAAACUUGGUCAUUUAGAGGAAGUAAAAGUCGUAACAAGGUUUCCGUAGGUGAACCUGCGGAAGGAUCAUUAAAAAGGUCUGGUCGAAAUCUUUGGGUAUACCCCAUCGAUUUCGACUUCCUGAUCAUUCCCUUAUGUGCACUUUUUGAAUAAUGCUUUGGUACGUCGAAAGACCUACCAAAAGUUUUAUCAAAAUAGCUUUAAUUUUUUGUCUGAAAUAAAAAUAUUUAAAUUUUUUUAAAUACAACUUUCAACAACGGAUCUCUUGGCUCUCGCAUCGAUGAAGAACGCAGC
rnacentral:misc_RNA from 1 species